ncrna:unclassified sequences COG3943 RNA
CACGCUCCACACAAAUAAUUAUUAUUUGAAUCAGAGGCCAUCCAACAGAGGAUGAAACACCAGUAACUAUGGUUGAUAGGGAUAUCAGCAGUUAGUUACAAAAAGGUGU